rnacentral:rRNA from 1 species
GAUGAACGCUGGCGGCGUGCCUAAUACAUGCAAGUCGAGCGAACGGACGAGAAGCUUGCUUCUCUGAUGUUAGCGGCGGACGGGUGAGCAACACGUGGAUAACCUACCUAUAAGACUGGGAUAACUUCGGGAAACCGGAGCUAAUACCGGAUAAUAUUUUGAACCGCAUGGUUCAAAAGUGAAAGACGGUCUUGCUGUCACUUAUAGAUGGAUCCGCGCUGCAUUAGCUAGUUGGUAAGGUAACGGCUUACCAAGGCAACGAUGCAUAGCCGACCUGAGAGGGUGAUCGGCCACACUGGAACUGAGACACGGUCCAGACUCCUACGGGAGGCAGCAGUAGGGAAUCUUCCGCAAUGGGCGAAAGCCUGACGGAGCGACGCCGCGUGAGUGAUGAAGGUCUUCGGAUCGUAAAACUCUGUUAUUAGGGAAGAACAUAUGUGUAAGUAACUGUGCACAUCUUGACGGUACCUAAUCAGAAAGCCACGGCUAACUACGUG